CUCGAACUAGGCCUUUUCUGUCCAGUGAUCUCUCUUCUGCGGGCAUGGGGUCGUAUCUGCGAUGCUGCACAUGCGGAAUAUCCAUCACAUGUGCGGUUCCAACUUAAGCUCAAGAGAUGUCGCUUUUGCAGCCAAAUCACGCACCUGCGCAUCUACUCGUGCAAAGAUUAUGCGCAUCUGCGCUCUCGCGCCUAUGGGGGGGUUCCACUUCUGCGGCCCUAGGCUUGGCCAGCCAUUUUUGCUUAUUUCUUCCUAACUCACUCCUACGAGUUCAGUUCUGCAGGACUCUAACCACAUGUACAGUUCUAACUGAGCAUGCCACAAUUCGCUCCUGCAUUUUCGACGCCGCUUUUGUGGUGACUGUCGUGCCUCCCUUUUUCCCUCCUUGCGGAGACAGGUCCGGGUUUCAACAUUCCAUGGGAUGAAAUGACUUGUUUUCUUUUGGGAAUUGGGUAUUUUAAGAGUCACCACAUAACAGAUUAUGGUGCAUUAGGACACGUAGAGUGAUUAACUCUUGGGUUGGUUUUCAUUACCAGAGAUUAGGGUAAGGGAUCAAAUUACCUUGAGGGAAAGGUGUUAGGCACCCCUCUUGGUCCACAACUGUGAGUCCCAACCGAACCUAUAUUUAUAAAUUAGUCCACAAAAAUAGUUGAAUCAAAUAAGUACAACACGUUUGAAGUAAUCAAGUACUGAAAUAAAGGUCAAACAAAAAUAAAAGUUUUAAACAAGAAGAAGGUUUGGGGUAAAGAGGGGUCCUAGGUUGUUUAUCCUAUUGGAUCACCCAAUGCAAUGUCCAGUAAACACUCCUCAACGAGAGGAAACACGUGACAUUAAUGUGUAGUCAUCAUAUCCUAUGCCUACCCUUCCCAUCCCCUUAUUGGUCACGCAAAGCGAGUGUUAGUCACUGAUUCCCAUUGUGUGCGCUACCCGUUCCUUCUUAAUAGUCUCAGAGGGAGUUAGGAACUCUACCUAUAGGUAGUUCUAGACAUACCCCUAAGUUUUCAAAGUCAAAAAUCUAAGGCGACAGUUAAAUAAAGCAAUUAGGAGUUUCACAUAAAUGGAGCAAUUAAACGCUCAUAGUUUCCUCUGCAUACAAGCAUACAUGCAGCACGACUCAACCACAAGUAAGGUCUUUAGUAAUCAAUGUCCUAAGCAUGAUUUCUAUGUGAUUAUGCAGAAAUAAACUAUUUUCAGAUACAGAAGUCACAACUUAUUAGUUGCACGAGAUCUCUUUUUAAAAUUCAGAUAUGUUGAGUGGCAGAAACAGCUUCAGAGAAAUGCAAGAUUCUUUUUUUUUUUUUGAAAAUGCCCUAAGGCUUGCCUAUAUGUAGAACUAAUAUUUAUGUUAAUACAAAAACAAACAAGUUUUGAAAUAGUCCCUUUAAACCUAUAGUCAGGAUAUCUAAUGAGAUUACAACAGUUUUGAAAGGACUAAUUUUAGAAAAGUUAUCGCUUAAUGAGGCCAGUUUUGAGAAGUAAACUAGGCAAGGUGCAAUUGAUCUAUUAGGCUAAUUAGAAUUACCAGACAGAAUUGCAAGUUAGAUCCCUUAUAGGAUUGGUAUCUAGGCAUGUUACCGGUUGUAGGUAAUUGGCAGUAAUAUGUGAAAAACUUACUGAAUCAGAACUAUGUACUAUAGGCAUGGUAUCUAUACUUGAGUUGAUUUAAAACAUUAUGGCUUGGAACCUAGAAACAUGGUUUCUAACAUGACAAAUACAUGAUUUAGGAACAUGGUUUUUAUCUGAUGCAAGUGACAUUAAAAGUGAAGUCCUUAUAGGCAUGAUUUCUAUUAUGAUGCAAAUGAAAUUGAAAGUGAAACCCAAUAGGCAUGUUAUCUAUCAUGCAAAUGUAAUCAUAUUUAAUGAAUAAAGAGAAACCUAUAGACAUGUUUCCUAUUUAGUGAACUAGGCAGAUUUGAGAAUAAAUCCUAAAAGCAGGGUUUCUACCCAUGUUACCCCACAAAGUAUACAUCUACCCAUCCUUUUACUAAGUACCCAAGUAUUUGUUUACAAAUUAUUACAGGUCAAUAAAUGAAUUACAUAGAUAAAAAUGUAAAAUCAAGAUGCUAUUCUAUAGAGAGCCUGCAAUCAGGCCCAAGUUUCUCAAAACCUACAAUGGUUUCAAACCUUAUUUCCAUAGAUAAAUCAGAUCUAGGUGCAUCAAAGUACCCUAAGGGUCUCAAGGAUCCCGGGAAAUGCUUACACCUAGACUUAAUAGCCAAGCAUUGAACCAGUGCAGUGUGGAAAGCCCUCAGUAUACAAGAGUUCCAAGGGUAUUCAAGAGGAUCCCAAGGCAGUACACAUACUAGAGGGGGAAGAACUUAUGAGUAGAGUGAAAGUGCAGGACACAUGUUUGAAAGAAGUUUAUGAAAGACUGGACUGAAAGGUCUGUUUUAAAAGCAAAUAGUAACAAAGAUUGUUGAAAAGAAGUUGGCUUAGUAAACAGAGUUCAAACAUUUCAGGAUAGGGCCAUACACAGCAGGUGAAUGAAUUCAGUAAUCAUACAGGGGUUAAGGGAUUUGGGGAUACAGAGACAUUGACUGCUGCCAUCUGACCCUGGCACGAGUAUUAGGACUAGUAUGGACAUGAUCAAAGAAACUUUGAAACUGGCAUAAUCAGAAAUCAGUCAAGAACAUAUAGAGGGGAAUAAGUAUUUGGGAUUCACAAAGUGGUAAGUGCACAGUAGGUAAAAGAAUACAAUUGUCCAAGCAUUCUUGAAUCACACAAGGGAAUACAUGAAUUCAAAGGGAGGGGAGUCAUACUAGCAUGCUUAGCUACAAACUUCACAACAAAACCACAAGUAAAAGCAGACAAGAAACAAAAGAAACUAAAACAGGAAGAGAAACAUGUUGUUGUUGAGACUUUAAAUUAAACUAGGACAUACCAGUGAAGAUAAAGUAAGCAGAAUGAAAGAACCAAGGUUACAGAUGAUUAGCCUUGGCUUGAAGCCAGAUAAUAGUAGUAGAAUAACACAUGGAUUUUAAGUAAAAAAGGGGUUUUUGGAAGCCAAGUGUGUGUGGAUUUUGUGAAAGACUUAGAGUAUUGAUAGUUGAAAGUAGGUAGUGGAAUAAGGUUAAAAUUAUAGUAGUAUGCUAAUUUAAGAACUCAGAAUCAAUCACUUCAGAGAAUCAAGGAAGUACUUCCUUGAGUUAAGGGGGUGAAGGCCAAAUGGGAAGAUUCAGUACCAUAUAAGGGGAAAGAAGAGUCAUUGCAUGAUUAAUAAGGAGAGGAGCCAGAGUUCAUUAUUUAUAAAGUAGUCAAUUAGGACCAAAUUCAGAAAGACCCAAUUACGGAAAGUCUAAGUAAAAUAAAGUAUCAUGGUAAAUAAGGCAAUAAAGUCAAAUAAUUCAAACAGACGAGUAGAAUUCUAGGGCUUUGAAGGAAAAUCUUUCAAUUACGAAAAGUUAAGGAAAAUCAGAAUCAAUCAUGGGGAGUCAUGAUUCUCCAUACCUCUAUAUAUAAAUCAAAAAAAUUGAACAGAAAUAGCAAACAAACAAGGUCGAUUAUACAGGCAGAAAGAAACAAGAGAUGAGAAAACACAAUCAUGUAAAGGUGAUGUAAGUAGGCUAGAGAUUCAUCAAAACAUAUUAGAAGCAUGGUGACCACGAGAGAUUAACAAGGCCAAGGCAAAGAAAACCAUGCUAACACAUAGAGCCAGGGCAAAGAGAAUCAUGCUAACCAAGGGACCAAAAAUGAAGAAAAUCAUGCUAACACACAAAAGCACAGUAAAGAAAACCAAGCUAACACACAGAAACAAGUAAAGAAAAUCAGGCCAACAUACAGAAACAAGUAACGAAAAAUCAUGCUAACUCACAGACACAAUUUAAGAAUUUUUUUUUUAAAAAAAUUAGGGAUUUUUAACAGAGUUGAGUUAAAAAGCAGUAAGAACAUAGAAUAUGUCAAGAUAAACAAAGGAAAGAGGCUUAAUCAUAAAGAAAUCGAUUGAAACAGGUAUAUAAAGAACUCCAAAACGUCCUAGUUUUCAAAGGGAGUAAAAACGGCUUAGAGUAGAAGAACUUUCAGAAGAAAGCUCGAGAAUAAGCAAAUCACAGAAGGAAAUAUGCUUGAGUCAUAAAAAUAACAUAGAUCUGAGAGAUUCAGGAGGGAGUUAGAGUUGUAAAAGGAAACCCAAGUAAAAAAAUCGAAAGAACCUGUUGUAACUCCACCAAUCGUGAUAUAUAAGGUGUGAUUCUGCCCAAAAUCACACCGGAGAACCCAUAAGUGACAGAAAUAAAAACCCUAGGUCCAAAUCGACAUGGCCUAGGAUCCUUGAAGGACUUAGAGAUGAUGAGAAAGGUGAUGAGAGAUCCAUUGGAGGCUUGGGUUGGAAGGGAUAGUCGCGUGAGAUGGCCGAUGACAGAGGUGAGUGGAUCAGUCUAGGGUUAAGUUUAAGAGAAGAGUGGAGAUGAGAGAGCAUCUGAAGGCCGCAGAUUGGAGAAAAUGAAUUAGG
rnacentral:lncRNA from 1 species